rnacentral:rRNA from 1 species
UACGUAGGGUGCGAGCGUUGUCCGGAAUUACUGGGCGUAAAGAGCUCGUAGGUGGUUUGUCGCGUUGUCCGUGAAAAACUCACAACUCAAUUGUGGGCGUGCGGGCGAUACGGGCAGACUGGAGUACUGCAGGGGAGACUGGAAUUCCUGGUGUAGCGGUGAAAUGCGCAGAUAUCAGGAGGAACACCGGUGGCGAAGGCGGGUCUCUGGGCAACAACUGACGCUGAGGAGCGAAAGCGUGGGGAGCGAACAGG